GACGAACGCUGGCGGCGUGCUUAACACAUGCAAGUCGAACGAAGUGGCGAACGGGUGAGUAAUACGUGAGUAACAUGCCCUCCUUUUUGGGAUAAGCCUUGGAACAGGGGUCUAAUAACGGAUAAAGGGGGAUGGGCUCGUGGCCUAUCAGCUUGGUGGUGGGGUGAUGACCUACCAAGGCGGUGACGGGUAGCCGGCCUGGGAGGGUGAACGUCAACAUUGGGACUGAGAUACGGCCCAUACUCGUAAGGGGUGCAGCAGUGUGGGAUAGUGCACAAUGGACGAAAGACUGAUGCAGCGUGGCCGAGUGGGGGAUGAGGGCUGUCGGGUUGUAAACCUCUUUCGGUAGCGAACGGGUAGGUGGAGAAGAAGCGCCGGCUAACUACGUGCCAGCAGCCGCGGUAAUUC
rnacentral:rRNA from 1 species